AUGGGUCAACGAUCUCGAGUUCGCCAUAGUGCCGCCCAGAGGCCUCCUCGGCGAGGCCGCCUGCACAGAUGCUUGGUGCACCGCGGCUGGAUCUCCAUCUCCACGAACAACAAGGACAACGACAGAGACCAGGCGCGGGCUGUGGUGGACACGGUUCAGUGUCAGGAGGUGAGCAUCACCAUGACGAGGCACAGCCUUGGGGCAGCGCUAAACGCGUUCGACAUCAUUGAGAAUGGUUACAGCUGCACGGCCGCUGCAUCGUACCCAGUCAUGGCGUUCACGUUCGCCCUGCACGGUGGCGGCACCGGCUUCAAGAAGCGGAUUAACGCUGCCACGGCCACCGGCCUCUGCGAUCUGUUCCGGACCGCGUCGGCGACGCUCGAGACAUUUUCCACAGCGUUGAUGAAGCACUAA
rnacentral:rRNA from 1 species